rnacentral:rRNA from 1 species
CUAUAGUUUGGGAUAACUCCGGGAAACCGGGGCUAAUACCGAAUAAUCUCCUUUACUUCAUGGUGAAGGACUGAAAGACGGUUUCGGCUGUCGCUAUAGGAUGGGCCCGCGGCGCAUUAGCUAGUUGGUGAGGUAACGGCUCACCAAGGCGACGAUGCGUAGCCGACCUGAGAGGGUGAUCGGCCACACUGGGACUGAGACACGGCCCCAAGACUCCUACGGGAGGCAGCAGUAGGGAAUCUUCCACAAUGGGCGAAAGCCUGAUGGAGCAACGCCGCGUGAGUGAAGAAGGUUUUCGGAUCGUAAAACUCUGUUGUAAGGGAAGAACAAGUACAGUAGUAACUGGCUGUACCUUGACGGUACCUUAUUAGAAAGCCACGGCUAACUACGUGCCAGCAGCCGCGGUAAUACGUAGGUGGCAAGCGUUGUCCGGAAUUAUUGGGCGUAAAGCGCGCGCAGGCGGUCCUUUAAGUCUGAUGUGAAAGCCCACGGCUCAACCGUGGAGGGUCAUUGGAAACUGGGGGACUUGAGUGCAGAAGAGGAAAGUGGAAUUCCAAGUGUAGCGGUGAAAUGCGUAGAGAUUUGGAGGAACACCAGUGGCGAAGGCGACUUUCUGGUCUGU